GAGGCCGCAGUAAAGUGGCUCAAGCGACUGUUUACCAAAAACACAGGUCUCUGCGAAGUCGAAAGACGAAGUAUAGGGGCUGACGCCUGCCCGGUGCUGGAAGGUUAAGGGAAGAGGUUAGCGCAAGCGAAGCUUUGAACCGAAGCCCCAGUGAACGGCGGCCGUAACUAUAACGGUCCUAAGGUAGCGAAAUUCCUUGUCGGGUAAGUUCCGACCCGCACGAAUGGCGUAACGACUUGAGCGCUGUCUCGACGACGAGCCCGGUGAAAUUGUGAUACCUGUGAAGACGCAGGUUACCCGCGAUUGGACAGAAAGACCCCGUGGAGCUUCACUGCAGCCUGAUAUUGGAUUUUGGUACUUGAUGUACAGGAUAGGUGGGAGACUAAGAAGCCGGGUCGUUAGAUUCGGUGGAGUCAACGUUGGGAUACCACCCUUUGAGUAUUGGAGUUCUAACCUUGAGCCGUAGAACCGGUUUGGGGACAGUGUCAGGUGGGCAGUUUGACUGGGGCGGUCGCCUCCUAAAGAGUAACGGAGGCGCCCAAAGGUUUCCUCAGCGCGGUUGGGAAUCGCGCGUAGAGCGUAAAGGCAGAAGGAAGCUUGACUGCGAGAGACACAUCUCGAGCAGGGACGAAAGUCGGGCUUAGUGAUCCGGUGGCACCGAGUGGAAGGGCCAUCGCUUAACGGAUAAAAGCUACCCCGGGGAUAACAGGCUUAUCUCCCCCAAGAGUCCAUAUCGACGGGGAGGUUUGGCACCUCGAUGUCGGCUCAUCACAUCCUGGGGCUGAAGUAGGUCCCAAGGGUUGGGCUGUUCGCCCAUUAAAGUGGUACGUGAGCUGGGUUCAGAACGUCGUGAGACAGUUCGGUCCCUAUCUGUCAUGGGCGUAGGAGAAUUGAAGAGAGCUGUCCCUAGUACGAGAGGACCGGGAUGGACAGACCUCUGGUGUACCAGUUGUUCUGCCAAGGGCACUGCUGGGUAGCUAUGUCUGGACGGGAUAAGCGCUGAAAGCAUCUAAGCGCGAAGCCCCCUUUAAGAUAAGUUCUCCCGCUCGGAAAACGAGGUAAGACCCCAGAGAGAAGAUCUGGUUGAUAGGCCGGGUGUGUAAAGACAGCAAUGUCAAAGCUUACCGGUACUAAUAGGUCGAGGGCUUGACCUA
rnacentral:rRNA from 1 species